rnacentral:rRNA from 1 species
UACAGAGGGGGCAAGCGUUGCUCGGAAUCACUGGGCGUAAAGCGCACGUAGGCGGCUUUUUAAGUCAGGGGUGAAAUCCCGGAGCUCAACUCCAGAACUGCCUUUGAUACUGGGAAGCUUGAGUCCGGGAGAGGUGAGUGGAACUCCGAGUGUAGAGGUGAAAUUCGUAGAUAUUCGGAAGAACACCAGUGGCGAAGGCGGCUCACUGGCCCGGUACUGACGCUGAGGUGCGAAAGCGUGGGGAGCAAACAGG